rnacentral:lncRNA from 1 species
CGCAUUGAUUUGCACGGGACCAGAUUGGAACAGGCGAGAAAUUACGUGGCCGAAAUUAAAAGAAAUAAAAGAGUGCGUCGCAUCUGUCACAGAAUUGGAGGGACUAACUGUGUAAAAUACCCAUUAGGGUAAUAAUGCACAACCCUCUUUCCUUUACAAGACGCCGUUUGAUAUUUUUAAAGAGAAAUAAAAUAAAAUAAAACUUUCAAAUCACUCUAAUCUGCCAUUCUUUAAGAAAAUAGAGCAAAAAUGUGAAACCCUAGCCCCCUUUCUUUUUCUCUCCACCGCUUGAGAAACUAAGAGCCACUCUUCCUCAACUCCGAUUUGGACGGAGAGAAGAAGAGCUUCGACGGCGCCACGGUAAGAACUCUCCGUCUUUUCCCUUUUUUAUUUUUGAUUUAUCAAAUGCAUAUGUAAAAUAAAAUAAAAACCAAAUAACGAAAAAAAACGAAAGAUUCGCACCUAAAAAAACUUUCUCAGAAUUCGAUCUAUAUUCUUUUUAUUUCUUUGUUUCAAAACGCUGUUUUUUUUUUUAUACAAAAAUCCCCCCUGUUACAGAGAAAUCGUAUUCGUUUUUAUAGCCAAUAUACAAUACUUUUGCUGCUACUUGUUGUCGUUUCUGCCUCUGUUCGGUAGUCUUUUCUUUCCCUUUUCUUGCAGGUGGUCAACAGAUGCGGAGCUUGCUAUCUUGGUGCAAUGCUUGGCUGGCGGUGGCUAGGGUGUCAGGUAAGCCUCGGGACGAGGCGCGGAUGGUACGCCCGAGGGAGCGGCGCACAUGUAAGAUACGGAGGAGAUGGUGGUGGUGACAAGGAGGUCUGUUCGCCGUAACUAGCAGAGAGCAAGAGUAAGCAAGGAGGGAGGAGAUGAGGAAAAUGAGGAGGAGGUCGUGCGUUGCUAUAGGAUUAAGGUUGUUGAGAAGGAAGAAAUAUCUUUUAUUCAUCGUGCCUUGGGGUAUUUAUAGGAGGUGGGUACCCUUUAUCGAAUAGAGUCACGUCAUUGACAAACUCGAGAUAUGAUAAAUGUGUGAUCGGCCAGGUGGCAAGGCGGUUACAUGUUGGUUGUGUAUACAACUUUAACAUUCCAUUUGUAAAGUACCACGUGACAUUUUAAAUAAGAAUAUAUAAAUUUUCUUUUAUAAAAAAUAUAUAAACUUUAAAAUUUUAUAAAAAUAAAAUAUAAAAAAUUAGAAAUACAUAUAUAAUGUAAAAUUAUAUAGUAUCAAUUUCUUAAAAAAUCAUACAAAAC